GGCCAGACUCCUACGGGAGGCAGCAGUGGGGAAUAUUGCACAAUGGGGGGAACCCUGAUGCAGCGACGCCGCGUGGGUGAAGGAGCACCUCGGUGCGUAAAGCCCUAUCGGCAGGGAAGAAACAGACGGUACCUGACUAAGAAGCCCCGGAUAACUACGUGCCAGCAGCCGCGGCAAUACGUAGGGGGCAAGCGUUAUCCGGAUUUACUGGGUGUAAAGGGGGCGCAGACGGCGAUGCAAGCCAGGAGUGAAAGCCCGGGGCCCAACCCCGGGACUGCUCUUGGAACUGCGUGGCUACAGUGCAGGAGGGGCAGGCGGAAUUCCUGGUGUAGCGGUGAAAUGCGUAGAUAUCAGGAGGAACACCGGUGGCGAAGGCGGCCUGCUGGACUGCAACUGACGUUGAGGCCCGAAAGCGUGGGGAGCAAACAGGAUUAGAUACCCCAGUAUCA
rnacentral:rRNA from 1 species